rnacentral:rRNA from 1 species
UACGUAAGGGGCAAGCGUUGUCCGGAAUCACUGGGCGUAAAGCGCGCGUAGGCGGUUUGGUAAGUCGGGUGUGAAAUCCCCGGGCUCAACCCGGGAACUGCGCCCGAAACUGCCUCACUGGAGGGACGGAGAGGUGCACGGAAUUCCCGGUGUAGGGGUGAAAUCCAUAGAGAUCGGGAGGAACACCAAUGGCGAAGGCAGUGCACUGGACGUUACCUGACGCUGAGGUGCGAAAGCGUGGGGAGCGAACGGG